AAAGAUCCUAGCAACAUCUUAAGCAACGUGCAAGUGCUCUCUAUGUGGAGAAAAUUACUAGCUAUAAAAUGUUACCUCUCAAGAUGGUUGUUAGGGGGGCAUAAUAUAACUUCGACUCUCUCUCUAACUUUCUCUGUAUAUAUAAUGUCACCCUGGAAAAAAGCUGUAAAGUGAAGCCAGCAAACGUCCAGAUGAGGGUGUCCUGUGCCAGCUCGUCCAUCCAGCUGGAUUUGCACCGGAUUAAAGUGAUUGUACCUGACUCCUUAUCUAAGGGUCUGCUUCUAACAUUUCCACAGUGAGACAAAAUUUGUUGAUUCCAGAAGUUAAUGGAAAGAUGCAGAAACUGAGACACACAGAAGCUAAGUUGCUCAGUGUCACACAAGUGGUGAGGACAAGUUUGAGUCCGAGUGGUUUGUCUCAAAAGUGCUCAGAAGGACUCCACCAUGGACUGGGGUGUACUCUGCUGUCUGGAGAGGAGUGUUCAAAACUUCAGGGGAGCGUCUGUGUGUGGAGGCCCUUGCCUGCAAUCCCAGCUACUCCAGAGGUUGAGGCAGGAGGAUUGCAAGUUCCAGGCUGCCCUAGACAACUUAGUGAGGCCCUGUCUCAAAAUAAAAUUCAAAAUAAAGGACUGGGAAUGUAGCUCAGUGGUAGAAGGCUUGCCUAGCAUGAGCAAGGCCCCUUGGUUCAAUCCCCAGUACUACAAAAAUAAAACAAAAGAAAUUUAAAGGGAGCAGAGGCAAAGGACAUGGAGAGAGUCCUUUGGUAGAUGAAAGUGAGAAGUUCAAUUAUACUAACACUUCCCAGUCAUUCAAGAUGUUUGUACUUCUAGUAAGAGAUGAGAUAGUGGUAACUAGCAAGAAGUAUGCUGGAGUUUUGAACUCUACCUGCUAAAAAUCAUAAUAUACAGAGCCUACGCAUUUGGAAUCUCAAGGAGGACUUUUUAAUCAGAGGUAGAUAGAAAUAAAAAGUGCUUACUUAGCCUGGAGCUGAAUGUAAUUUUGAGUUGAAAGCUUAAUUAUCUAAAUUUCACCUAUGUGAGCAAUCGUAUUCUGUUUAUAUAAUUCUAUUUUAAGACAUGAGUUUAAAAUAUGGCUUUGCUAUAAAUAAAUAUCUGUUUUUACAUACAAAGACCACUGGUGAGAUACAAAGAUGCUUUAAUUUUUUCUUUUCUAGGGCUUUAGAUGUUUAAGAAAAUCUACGCUAUAGUAUCCAACUGAUAAGUCAGUUUAAUGACACUACCAGUAAGAGUGUAAAGGAGAACAAAGCAGCUAAAAAGUAAUCUCUUUCCUUAUUCCUGCAUUAUCUUUAUAAGAUACACAGUCUAUCGUCUUUCUUUUGCUUAAUAAAAAAAUUUAAUCAGUAUCUCCUUUGUCUACAGAAUACACCACCAUUUGGCUUUCACACUUCUAGCCUCUUGUCCCACCUUUUCAGGCUCUGUGCACUUGGGAUUUUUCAGUCUUCUCUCCAUAGCCAUACAGGGUCAAAGCCCUUCAAUCCUUGUGUCCACUCCAUGUGGUUCUCAGUCCCUGAUUAUCUGUGUCCUUAUGCCAGGGGUAGGCAAGCUCAGCUCUCAGCCUGUCCCGAAGCCCCUACCACUAUCCAGAGAGGACUACUGAUGACCCUCUGCCAUGUUCCCAUAACAUUUUGAGGCUUUCGCCUAAGUUUUCGUUUCUGUGGUGAUGAGUUAGGUAUAAUAUCUUCUCAUUCUAAGGUUUAGUUAGGUAUAUUUACAGAAUCAAGAGGAUUUGAAUUGGAAAGUGCCCUAGAGAUCAGCUAAGACAACCUUCUCAUUUCACCAGAAAUAACUGAAAUUUUAGGAGACAUAUCCAUUUUGUUAUUUCUGGUUAGUCAUAGAACUCAAACUAGAACUUUGUCCUGACCCUGUGCUUUUUUUUUUAUAAAAUAUGCUGUAGACAAUGUCAUUUUUUCCUUUAAAUUGUCCCUGUUCUACUUCACAGAAUCCAAGGAAAUGUUAGAUUACAUGACAAAGGGCCAUUAAGUUUGUAGACAGAAUUAAGACCAAAUUUAAAAUGGGGAAAUUAUCCUGGAUUCUCUGGGUAGAACUUUUGUGGUCAGAAAAGUAUUUUUAAAUGUGGGAAAGGAAGGCAGAAGAGUGUCACAGUGAUGUGAUAGGAGAAAGAUUGGCCAUACUGGCUUUGAAGAUGGAAGGAGGCCAUGAACAAAGGAGUGUGGGUGAUGUCUAGAAACUGAAAAGGGUAAGAAAAUGAAUUUUCUCCCACAAUCUCCAAAAGAAAUAUAUUUCUGACAGCACUUUGAUUUGGGCCCAGUGACACCCAGUUAGACUUCUGACAUCCACAACUAUACUAUAAGAUGAUAAAUUUUCUGUUUUUAACCUGCUAAAUUCAUGGUAAUUUAUUUUAACAACAAUGGGGAAUGGCUAUAAGCUUCUACAUGCAAAUAGCAUUAAAUGGGUAAUUCAAGGCUUAAUACAGAGCAAUUUGAACACUGAAAUUUCUUAAAAGGCAUAUUUUAUUUUCACAAAAUUUGUAUUUAUUUUGAAUGUUUUUGGUUUUAUUUAUUCCUUCCAACAGAUUUCUAUUAAAUGUGUGCCAUUUGCUGUAUCAGACAUUAUGGUAGAUUGAAUAGCCAUCUCCUUGUUGCUGUCUCCUUGAGGAUAAAAUGCUAAUUUCUGAUGUCUUUUUCUUUUCUGGUACUGAGGAUUGAACCCAGAGCCUUCACAGGGUACUACAUCUCCAGUCCUUUAUUUUUUAUUUUGAGACAGGGUCCUACUUAGUCACCAAGUUGCUCAGGCUGGGUUUGAAGUUGCAAUCCUUCUUCCUCAACUUCCCAGAGUGCUGGGAUUAUUAGCAUGUACCACCACACCCAGAUUCUUAUGCUUUGACUUUCUAAUUUGUUUUGGACAUUUGCAUGUGGGCAGAAGAAAUGUGCCACUUUUGAGCAAAGUUUAUUAAUUCUGCUUGCUUUCUUAUGGCUUUGUGAUGUUACUGCUUUAAAAUGAGGCUCCCCAUGUUAUCUGCUACCUAAUCUGGACAACACUUGAAACACUUGAAAGAGUUCCCACAGACUUGUGAGGAAGCUACAUGCUUAUUUUGCUAUGCCAAUGGUACUACUGAGUGUGUUACAUAGUCAUAACAGUAGAUGACUGGCUUUGUCAUGUAAACAAAUGACCUACACACUUUUUAAAGAGUUUUAAUAGUAGAAACAUAUGCAGUUAAUGGAAUUAUCUCAUAGUAUAAAGGAGUGUUUUAUCAAAGAGAAGUCCAGGAGGCUUUAUAGAUAGGGUAAUAGCUGAGCUGAAUCAGAAAGGAUGGAAAUAAUUUCUCUAGUCUGUAAAAGGUGUGACUUGAGUAGAUGAGAAAGGCUCUUCAGGGUAAAUAUAAUACUGUCUUAAUCAAAACACCCAACACCCACACCUCAAAGGAGGAAAAGUUUAUUGUGACUCAUAAUUCCCGUCCAUGGUUGGUUGGCUUCAAGGCAGAAACAGGGCAACAGAGGGGCAUGGUAAAGGAAAAGGAAAAGGAAAAGGUGCUUAACCCAUGGUGUCCAGGAAGCAGAUGAAAAUGGAGGAGGUGGGGAAGGAGAUGCACCUUUACAGGUCUCACUGCCAGUGACCCACUUCUUCCUACUUGGCCCUGCCUCUGACCAGCACAUUUCAUUAUAAUCCAUUGAUGAGUAAAGUGCCUCCACAAUCCAGUCACUUUCCAAAACACAGGAAAAUUUGAAAGGGCAUUUUAGAUCUAAACCAUAACACAUAUCUUUAAGCAAAUUUAAAGGAAAUUUAGUGUCAACUGAAGGCACUAGGAAAUAUGCCUUUAUUUUACUCUGGGUUUGUCUUUUUUGAUAGUUUUCCCAUAGAACUUGCAAAGUAAUAUUUCUCAAGUAAAUAAAUAGGUAUUAUGUAUGAUUUCUGAGAUGACCACAAAAUUGUGAUGUAAUUCUUUAAGGAGCAGAGACAGCAGGAAAUAAAGAGGAACUAGUUUUCAAAGGCUUCCUAUGGUGCAGGUAGAUUCUCUGUCUCCUUCUUAGCAAAGGUAAUUCCCUGUCUCUCCACUGAUAGGACACUGCUAAUGCCACCCCUCUUUUUCUGACAUUAUUUUCAGUGCAGAAUUGCUUUUUCCAGCUGAAUUACUCCUGGAUCACUUUGGAUUUUCAAGUGGUUUUAAGUACACAUGCAAGUCAAUACCAAGAACAACUAAGAAAUUGAUAGGAAGGUCAUGUCUUUUAAAUUUGUAAACUAUGCCAUGAGUGGGGCUAGGAGACCAUGGCACUUGUUUCAUUCUUUGGUGUAUUGGUCUUUCUUAGGUUCUGGGACAUCCUACUGUACCCUAACCCUAGAUAGUCUUUUUCCAAACAGACACCUUUAGUCACAAGGGAAAGGUAAGACAAUGGUAAGUCUUUCCUUUCAGGAAGAAUAGCAUAAUUUUCCAACUCACUGUGGAUCAGCAGUAUCUUUCUGUCUGAUAAGAGAGAUACAUGUCAUGAUUUUAACAGAGUUUGAAUUUGUUCCACAGAGUAGACUUGAAACUAUGUAAAAUCUUAUGCACAUUGCCAUGUGUGCCUCACCUCCUUCUAUCAUAUCUAAAAAUUUCAAUUUUAAUUCCCAUGUAAUUUACUUUUGUUAUUUAAAAAUUUUCAUAUUCACAUAGCCAAAUUCUAUGCAACUUGCAGAAAAAAUGCGUACUAUUUCUGUCAAAAAUUGCAUGCAAUUCUAAAAUAAGCAGAGUUGAAGAUGUUAAUGAAAAGAGAUCUGCAAGUGUAACUAAUAUGAUCUCAUUGUUAAACAAUUCACCAAAUAAAUGCCGUGGUUGGAUUUAGAUACCAGAUGUCAAACCACAUAGUAAUGAAGAUACAGUUGCUUGCUUCCCUGUCACUGGUCGCCAGAAAGAAACAGAUGGUUAAAAAGAUAUGUAGCUGAGGCAAGGCAUGGAAAUAGGAAACCACAGAGUAGAAAUUCUGCCUUUUAAGUAACAGUAAUUUUCUAGUCUGGAAAACAUGGUGUUUUAUACCUCCUCUUAUGCACUUAAGCAGUUUAAAUGUGAAACAUAGCAAAAAUAGUCCAAGCAAGGCUGGCAACUUGCAAAUUUUGCAGUGCAUAGUUGCAUCUCAAAAAUCUUGGAGGCAGACGUACAACAGUAAAAGGCAAACACUUGUAAGCAGUUGAAUACAAUUAUGUGGUGGUUAUUACCUAAGCUCAUUACAGCUUCAGAAGGGGUUCUGUGAACUUGUGCUCUAACUAGUAGGUCAGGCAAAAUGCAAAUAAGGACUAAAUUUGAAAGCAAGUAACAUAAAAACCAGAUACAAUUUAGACUGGGAGUCUAUAAUUUGGGUUUAAAAAAUAAGCCUCAGCAAGAAUCAUCCUCAUUACAAUAAUGGCUUGUUUAUUCUGCACAACUUGUUUACAAUUACAGACCCUCUUUAAAAGCUGAUUUUAACAGGAAAUAGGAGCAUGCAAAGAGACAGAGCAGGGAUGGGGGGAAGAGACAGAGAGAGAGAGAGAGAGAGAGAGAGGAGAGAGGAGAGAAGAGAGGGCAAGGGCUUCAUGGUUGGUCAGUUGUUAUAAUUAGAGUAGAUGCAUAUAUGUAUUGCAAAACCAUUUAUGCCUUUACUCCAAAUCUUUUAAUUUCAGAUUUCUGUCACUGAAAUAUAAAGUCUCAAAUAGUCUAUUAUUCCAAAGAUAUCAUUAUAAUUGAAUUUCUAAUGAGAGUGUCUAUGGAGCUUUGUUCCUAGUAUUUCCAUUAUGACAUUGGAAUCCUCUUUAUCUAUUAUGGUCAGGUGACCAUGAAAUGAUGAGCUACAGCUGUUACAGGGCAUGUGUCUGCUGGGGCUUAAUUUAUAGUAAAUACACAUUUUAUUGCUAAUAUGUUUUUUUUUCUCAUUCAUUUCUUCAAAUAGUCAUUCAAAUAUUCAGGGGAACCUGGAAGGAGGCAGAGAUAAUGCUCAGGAUAACCAGAUGCCUGGGAUUGAAUCUUGAUCUUGUUACUAACUGCGUAAUCUUGGGCCUCUGUGUCUCAGCCUUCUUUUCUUUAUAAUGAAGGUGGUAACUCUCUUGUAGAUUGUUGUGAAGUUUAAAUAAAUUAAUACAUCUUAAGAGCUCAGAAAAGUCCCUGCCACAUAAUAAUAUGCUACCUAUUGUUAUUAUUCUUUGCUGGACCUUGGGAACAUAGUGGUGAUCGGGAUGUGCUCGAUCUCUUCCUUUACAGAACUAACGUUCUUGGGGAGAGAGGAGAUGGCAUUAGGCAGCUAGUCAUCCACUUAAUUACUUUUGUGGUAAGUGCAGCAGGAAAGUAUCAAAGUGAAGCUGUUGUAUAAAAUGGGGACUUGACCUGUUUGGGGUAGAUUUCCAGCUUCUAGAAGUGACAUUUGCUCUCUAAAGGAUGACUAAGAAUUAUUUAGGAAGUUAGAAAUCAGGAGAACAUGUAGGGAGAUUGCUUUGCUUACAGAAGCAAAAUGGGAGAUGAAAGGUAUAAUGCGGCAAACUGCUUAGAACUCACACUUCCAUACUCUGUGGCUGGAAACAAUUCAGUUACAAUGGUUUGAUCAUAGACUGAGUUUUCUUGUCAUUGAUUCCUUUUGUUCUUCCACUUAGACUCCUUGAUCCUUUGUGGAUCCUUUAUCCAUGAAACACACUGUAAAAUCCUGGGGUUUUCAUUGGUUAGAUGCCUCUGUUUUCUUACAAGCUCAUGACAAAGUCAUUUCUCACUAUAUUUUGUUGUUUUCAGCAAGUCAACUAAAGUUAGAAUCCAAAAAUACAUGUAAAUAGAAGUGCAUGUAAAUAGAGGUGUAUGUAUGUUGUAUAUAAUUUUACAUUAAAUUUAUAACUAUUUUUACAAAUUGACCAUACCAUUUGUAGAAUUUUGCAUUCUGCUUCUUUAUUGAGAUUUUAUGUGAACUUUUUCUUGUAUCAUAGUAUUCUUUGAAAAUAAAGAUUUAAACUAUAAUGCAUGGCUGUUCAGUUGUGUGAUUGAUCCCAUUUUGUGAACAUGGCUGAACAUUUUAGAUUGCAUCCAAAUGUUUAUCAUCAUAAAUAAUGCCGUAAAAAUGUUUACUGGAGUGCUUUUAGAUAAGUCUCCUUAGAGUGGCGCAUUGUCAGAAAUAAUAUUGGUAUAUCAAGGACCGUUUAUUUCUUUUUAAGUUUCUUUGUAUAUAUA
rnacentral:lncRNA from 1 species